rnacentral:lncRNA from 1 species
UAAAAACCAAUAUAGGUUCUGCCUGAUUUUCUUGAGAUGCUCACUCUUGGCACCCAGCCACCAUACUGUGAGGAAGCCCGGGCAACCCAUGUAGAUGCCCUGACUGACAGCUGUAGCUGAGAGCACAGCCAACAUCCAGCAUCAACCACCAGUCGUGAGUUCAUAACACAUCUCCCUGGUUGGAAGAUAAUCAAGCCACGUGAAAACACAAGUGACAAUGAAGGAAAAGGUGGCAAAAUGGUAUCUGUAUUAGGGCAUGAGAAAAACGAUAACCUGGACAUCUCCACUGACACAUCCCUGUCUCAGGUUUGGAACAGCUCCUGGGAUUCUCCUGCCUUCCUGGACCCAGUAACACAUCCUGCGUUUUUCAUCGUUGAUAGCAGCCAUCAUUCUACACUAUCCCUUGGGGUUUACGAAGUCUCCUUCUGCAUCAAGGAUCAGCACAGCCUCCUCUCAUCACUACUAUAGCCAAAUUGGCAUGGGAGACAGAACAACAAACAUGGGGCUGUUGCUGGGUUAGUCAAUGGGAGACCCUAAAGUUGACCCCGGGUGCCUUUGAUAUGAUUCUGUUAAUCUUUGACAGAAUCCUCCUUUUCUAGCACAAUCACGUGUCCCAGGAUCAUCUGGAAGGUUUUCUGCCUCAGGUGUGAAAUCAGCCAUUUCUCAAGGAGCCCCGCUCCCUUCGAGUGGGAAACGGCAUUUAGAAACUGCAAUUCAGGCAUGAAGCCAUUCACAGCUCCUAGACCUUUUCAGCAAACAGAGCUAGGACACAUAGACUUCUUUCUAGAAAGAAACAAAAUAAAUAACGUUACUGAUAUUUCC